GACGAACGCUGGCGGCGUGCCUAAUACAUGCAAGUAGAACGCACAGUUUAUACCGUAGCUUGCUACACCAUAAACUGUGAGUUGCGAACGGGUGAGUAACGCGUAGGUAACCUGCCUGGUAGCGGGGGAUAACUAUUGGAAACGAUAGCUAAUACCGCAUAAUAUUGAUUAUUGCAUGAUAAUUGAUUGAAAGAUGCUAUUGCAUCACUACCAGAUGGACCUGCGUUGUAUUAGCUAGUAGGUGAGGUAACGGCUCACCUAGGCGAGGAUACAUAGCCGACCUGAGAGGGUGAUCGGACACACUGGGACUGAGACACGGCCCAGACUCCUACGGGAGGCAGCAGUAGGGAAUCUUCGGCAAUGGACGAAAGUCUGACCGAGCAAAGCCGCGUGAGUGAAGAAGGUUUUCGGAUCGUAAAGCUCUGUUGUAAGAGAAGAACGGGUGUGAGAGUGGAAAGUUCACACUGUGACGGUAUCUUACCAGAAAGGGACGGCUAACUACGUG
rnacentral:rRNA from 1 species